rnacentral:lncRNA from 1 species
GAACCAGAGGGCGGGGUCCCCACAGGAAAGGUGAUAGAUCAGCCCCAGCAAAAGCUCUCCCACGUAGGAAAUGGGCCUUACGUGGAAAAUUGACUGCGCCUGCGCGAGACCGUGGGGCUGGCGCUCCCUACAACUGCCCCCGAAAAGGAUCCGAGUGUCCUGCGUGUAUUUCUUGCUGGUGAGAAAAUACAGCGCGCGCGGGACAUAUGGUGCCGAAACCCGGGAAGCUUAACAUCACCGGCACCGCGGAGAACCCUUGGCUACAAGGCGGAUUCAGAACUGCAGGGUGGUAAAUUCGGAGAGGAUGAAGAAAAUCCUCUGUGGAUCCCAGAAAGACUCACCCGAAGAGCCCCUUCGGACCUUCAAAAGUCGGAACUCCACCCUCUCCCCGGGAGUUGAGAGCCGCUAUUGUUAUCCAGAUUAACUCCUGUCCUUGGUGGAGAGAUUGCCACUGCUUAAGUGGUGGGGGUGGGAUUGUUUGAUGCAGCCGUUUGCGGAUUGCUGUUACUUCUGGCUGGUCUAUGAGAAAGGGGUGGGGGUGGGAUUGUUUGAUGCAGCCGUUUGCGGAUUGGUGUUACUUUUGGCUGGUAUGUAAGCUCUAGGCACAAAAUUAAAGAGAGAUCGCCCAAGCGCUUAUAUUUUGGCUAACUAUGCUUAAGCAAUAGGCCGCCGGCCAGACAGCUCUUGCACACCCGGAGCCUAGGCUCAUUGCACAGGGUAGAGUGUCUGGUCUGGGCAGCCCAAUGAGGGAUGCUGAGCAAAGGCAUCGCACAGAGUUGCCUAAUAUGCAGGCUUCUCUGAGAGGCAUGUUGUCCUGCAUAAGGGUUGCCUGCCCUAGUCUCCCUUUCCCAGAAAAACGGCAGAGGACAGGUCGAGAGCGCUUCGGGUCAAGCUAACAGCCUGAUGGCGACUCUUGUACACAGUCUUAAUGUUUGAUUGGGAAGGUACAACCUCUGCCUCUAUCCCUCAACAUAUGGGUGACCUAUUUGCUUGUAAAAAUAUAAAGCCUUAUCAUUAAUUAGUAAAAAAAGGGGGAGAUGUAGGGAGCCGUCCCUGCAUUCUCCAUUACAAUGAUGGCGCCUGCAUCCGGCAGGCACUGAAUGUAAACAAGAUUAUUGCGCAGGCGCUGGGUAAUUUUCCAUUCCUUGAUCUCUGCCUAUUCCGUGGCGUCAUAUGGCCUGAUGAGCUGCAGCCAAUCAUAGGGUGACACGUCC